CGUUUAGGUGUAAACCUGAGAAACCCGAAAGGUCGAAGGGAGAAAUUCAUUCGCGUUUCGAAGCGGGAGGCGGGCGAACCGAGAGUCGCGCGGCGUUUACGUCGCGCGUUCCGUUCGUUCGUCGAGUCUGUUACGAACGCGUGCACUUUUCUCCUGGUAGGACGUCGCGAUUCGUCGGGCGUCGGUCUACGGUGCGCGGUGGAGCCCGCUCGAGCGAUUUUCGUUCGGACGGACCCGCGCUAUCCCGGCCGACUAGCUCGACGGUAUGCGUGAGGUUUGGAGCCGCUGCUUUUAAGCGUCCGACUCGAGGCAAGCGUGCCAGAUUUAGUCGGCGAUCGGACCUGGUGCCGAUUCSGACGUCUGGCGACUGUUGGCCGCGAAGUUCUCGGACAGACUCGUAAACCGAUCUGCGACGGUAUAGCUUUGGGUACUUUCAGGACCCGUCUUGAAACACGGACCAAGGAGUCUAGCAUGUGCGCAAGUCAUUGGGACUUUUAAACCUAAAGGCGCAAUAAAAGUGAAUUAUUCGAAGGAAGAAGAGCGUUCGUUCGGCUUCGGUCGACGCUCCGCAUUCCUGGGGCGUCUCUGUCUCAUCGCGAGACGAGGCGCACCAAGAGCGUACACGCUGGGACCCGAAAGAUGGUGAACUAUGCCUGGUCAGGAUGAAGUCAGGGGAAACCCUGAUGGAGGUCCGUAGCGAUUCUGACGUGCAAAUCGAUCGUCGGAACUGGGUAUAGGGGCGAAAGACUAAUCGAACCAUC
rnacentral:rRNA from 1 species